UACGAAGGGGGCUAGCGUUGCUCGGAAUCACUGGGCGUAAAGCGCACGUAGGCGGCUUUUUAAGUCAGGGGUGAAAUCCUGGAGCUCAACUCCAGAACUGCCUUUGAUACUGAGAAGCUUGAGUCCGGGAGAGGUGAGUGGAACUGCGAGUGUAGAGGUGAAAUUCGUAGAUAUUCGCAAGAACACCAGUGGCGAAGGCGGCUCACUGGCCCGGUACUGACGCUGAGGUGCGAAAGCGUGGGGAGCAAACAGGGA
rnacentral:rRNA from 1 species